rnacentral:lncRNA from 1 species
AUGUGGGAGGCCUGUUCUUGGCUGCGUAUUUUAAGCACCGGCUUUGUGGAUGAAAGGCCAUGGGGCCAGGUCUUGCAGCAACCCCCAUCAUCCCUUUCCCUCAGAAGUAUGAAAAUGUCUUUUUUCUAGAGCGCUCUGUGUUGGUCAGCCAUGGUGUGACUCAGUGCCUCUGGAUGAAGCCUUCCUUAGCUCCUCCCUCCUCUUAUCUCUGCCAUAGAUCCUUGGCUUCCUGAUGAUCAAACUGAAAAAUCUGCAGUUUUCUUGCAGAAAAACAAACAAUUCCAAUGGAACAACCAUUCAAAACAUAAUAACUCAGCCCUUUAACCUCCUACCACAGUCUAAUGCCUGGCAUUACGAGUUGGGGUAAAGAAGAAGGCAGGAACAAUGAUUGUGGAGAGCUCUAUCUGCCUCAGAAAUAAUGCCAGUCGGCAAAGGCUGCCGGCAGGUUUUGUGCUCAUUUCAAAACUUCACAUUCCUCAGGCACUUAGUGGCAUUUUUGAAGAACACUGUGUCAAGGACAGUGGGUGACCCAGGAGAGUGAUGUGAGCGAGGUCAUUCUGAAUACACAGCACUUGACGUGGUAGAGUCUACAGCCACAGCUUGGAAAAACAGCUCUUGGCAGUUGUGUCUCUCUUAGCCAGCAAGCGUGGGGACCUGUGCCACGGAGACACCCAACAGGAAUCAUCAUUCCAGGUUUUGUCACUGAUGGGCAAUAUGGAGAGAAUGUAAAAAUAUCUAACUUCAAACAGAAAAAAGAAACAACUGGAAUGAAAAGCUAUAAACAAUAGUUCAGAAGAUUGACGUAGAGGAUUUACCUACAGAACUUCAGGAGAUUCCUAAGAAGGCCUUCAGUGAUCUUUUCAUCAAUAUCAUCAGGCCUUAUCAUUGUUUCACAUUUGCUUCUCUUUACCAUAGGGAAUAUAAUAAUUAUUUACUGGUUAACUUCCUAGGGAGAUUGCCUGCGGCUUAUUUAAGAUCCAAAUUUUAAAGUAAUAAUUUCUGUUGAAGCUGCUUGUGAGGUGGUUGGGUGGGCAGAUAGAGUGAAGCCAGGGACACACACUAAAUGAGCCCGGGAUGUAGGCAGGUUUUGAUGUUUUGCUUGCUUUUAUCCCUAACAUUUUAUCCCUUCACGUUUACUGUCUCACUGAACAUUUUGUCUACUCUUCUAGUUAUGCAGUGAGCAGGUCUCCUCCAGGAAGAAGCCUCUUUUUAUGAGGAUUGGGGUGGUGACAGACAAUAAUCAAAUGGUCUGAUUUCUCUGCUAUCCUUUCCUUUCCCCUAAAUGUUCUCAGGGGAUCUGCUUGAACUUUUUUCAAGAGCUCUGUAUUUGGAUUUUUAGUAGCCUAUAGAUUAUCACUCAAUAAAACAAAUUAAUUGUUUUUAAGUGAAUUGCCAAAAGUCAUUUUAAAAAGGAAACUCUAUGGUUAUUAUGGUUUCUGCUAGAAAGAAUUCUGACAGCUCAUAAAAGCAAUAUGUAUAAUUUUUCAUUUUUUAGAAGAAAAUAAAUACUUUCAUGUAAUGGCUUGAGACUCUGAA